rnacentral:rRNA from 1 species
AGUGAACGCUGGCGGCAGGCCUAACACAUGCAAGUCGAACGGCAGCACAGUGGAGCUUGCUCCAUGGGUGGCGAGUGGCGGACGGGUGAGGAAUACAUCGGAAUCUGCCCAGUCGUGGGGGAUAACAUAGGGAAACUUAUGCUAAUACCGCAUACGACCUACGGGUGAAAGCGGGGGAUCGCAAGACCUCGCGCGAUUGGAUGAGCCGAUGUCCGAUUAGCUAGUUGGCGGGGUAAUGGCCCACCAAGGCGACGAUCGGUAGCUGGUCUGAGAGGAGGAGCAGCGACACGGGAACUGAGACACGGUCCAGACUCCUACGGGAGGCAGCAGUGGGGAAUAUUGGACAAUGGGCGCAAGCCUGAUCCAGCCAUGCCGCGUGGGUGAAGAAGGCCUUCGGGUUGUAAAGCCCUUUUGUCCGGAAAGAAACGCCUCGGAUUAAUACUCUGGGGUAAUGACGGUACCGGAAGAAUAAGCACCGGCUAACUUCGUGCCAGCCGCCGCAGUAAAAC